GUGCUUGCUUCGGCAGCACACAUACUAAAAUUGGAAAUAUAUAGAGAAGAUUAGCAUGGCCCCUGCACAAGGAUGACACGCAAAUUUGUGAAGCGUUCCAUAUUUAA